AUUGAACGCUGGCGGCAGGCCUAACACAUGCAAGUCGAGCGGAUGAAGGGAGCUUGCUCCUGGAUUCAGCGGCGGACGGGUGAGUAAUGCCUAGGAAUCUGCCUGGUAGUGGGGGAUAACGUCCGGAAACGGGCGCUAAUACCGCAUACGUCCUGAGGGAGAAAGUGGGGGAUCUUCGGACCUCACGCUAUCAGAUGAGCCUAGGUCGGAUUAGCUAGUUGGUGGGGUAAAGGCCUACCAAGGCGACGAUCCGUAACUGGUCUGAGAGGAUGAUCAGUCACACUGGAACUGAGACACGGUCCAGACUCCUACGAGAGGCAGCAGUGGGGAAUAUUGGACAGAGGGCGAAAGCAUGAUCCAGCCAGGCCGCGUGUGUGGAGAAGGUCUUCGGAUUGUAAAGCACUUUAAGUUGGGAGGAAGGGCAGUAAGUUAAGACCUAGCUGUUUUGACGUUACCAACAGAAUAAGCACCGGCUAACUUCGUG
rnacentral:rRNA from 1 species